rnacentral:tRNA from 1 species
GUUACGGUGGUCUAGCGGUUACAACGCUGGCCUUGUAAUCCUGGGGUCUCGGGUUCGAUUCCCGGCGGUGCCC